rnacentral:lncRNA from 1 species
UUAUUUAUUGUAUUAAUUGUUUGAUAUUUAAUUUUAUUAUAUUUGUGUAUCUUGAAUAUUUUUAGUUUAAUUUAAUUUAUAUUAUGGAUAAAUUAAGAAACCUCGCUACUAAAGGUGUUAAAAAUUUUUGUCCCAGAAGCGGUAGUGGUAGUAAAAAGCGAAUUACUAGCGGUAGAGGCAGUUCAAGCAGUAGAUAUACCCGUGUGUCUUCGCCUCCGAUACCGCUUGGUACACCUUUUGAGGAAGAAAUAGGUAUAGGUGCUCACGAU